rnacentral:misc_RNA from 1 species
GCAUAUGUCGUGUUUCGUCAUCAGGUAAAGACUUAAUAUAAUAUCCAAUCUAAAUAUUGCAUGUGGCAAUAGUUUCAUCAAUUAAUUGAAUACGGCCAUGUGAUUCAAGUACUUAGAACUUUUAGGUAAAGAUUCACCACAUCUGGAUGGCUUUCAGCUGCUGAUGUUCUUCUAAUGAUUCUUUUUGAAAUUUUUUCAAGUAGUAACGCUGUAGUUUGGAUGGAAGAGGUUUUUGUCAUUUAACGGAAAGGCCUUAAAAAACACGUCAAGCUGGUAAGAACAAAAAUGAUCUCAAAGAAUGCCUUGUAUAAACUGCAGAAUUUGAUCUGUCACUAUAGCUGUUCACUGAUGAAAAUGGUAGCCUCUUCCUAUAGAAUGUAUUCUCUGCACCAAGAGAACAAGAGAAUGUUAGGAAAACAAAAAUAUAGGGAACUUAAUUGUAAAACGAAUAUGCAGCAUCAAGUUAUAAAACAAACAUGUGCUGAUUAUGGAUUGUUUUACUUUUUUUGUAUUGUUGCUUGUGCAGAGGGUAAACUCAAUCUCAAUGCACUAAUUAUGAUAGUUUCAAACUUGAAUAGCUUAACGAUCUCUUUUCUAGUCCAUCUAUAUUAAUCUUUUAUGUAUAAAUUGCAGAUUAUAAAUGUUUACAACCAA